rnacentral:rRNA from 1 species
AUCUAUGGCCAUGCUAUCCUGAACAAGCCUGAUCCCAUCUGAUCUUGGAAGCCAAGAAGGGUCGGGCCUGAUUAGUACUGGAAUGGGAGACAACUUAGGAAGACCAGGUGCUGUAGGCG